GAGAACACAAGGAUUUGUGAGAAAGAUGAGAAGUUCAAAUCAGGUUUAUGAUGAAUUUGAAAUGCCUAUAAAACGAGGUGGCCGCCCUGCAAGGGGACCUGGCCAGCCUCCGGGCAGAGCUGCAGGGCCACCACGCGGAGAAGCUGCCAGCAGGAGCAGGAGCCCCCAAGGCCGGCCUGGAGGAAGCUCCAGCUGUCACCGCGGGACUGAAAGUGAGUUUGCAGCAGCUGCAAGACGCAGGCAAGAUCCUGCCUACACUGCUGCCUCUCCCUCGCCUCAGCUGUCUUUCUAAUAACUUGAAGUUUUUCUGUUCAUAGAUCUUUGAACCACCAGCUCCAGGAGAAGGCAACUCCAGUCAGAGCAGCAGAAAUAAGCGUGCCGUUCAGGGUCCAGAA
rnacentral:sRNA from 1 species